CAGCAGCCGCGGGAAUACGUAGGUGGCAAGCGUUGUCCGGAAUUAUUGGGCGUAAAGGGCUCGCAGGCGGUUUGAUAAGUCACCUGUGAAAUCUAUGGGCUCAACCCAUAGUCUGCAGGCGAAACUGUCGGGCUUGAGUAUUGGAGAGGUGAGUGGAAUUUCCGGUGUAGCGGUGAAAUGCGUAGAUAUCGGAAGGAACACCUGUGGCGAAAGCGGCUCACUGGACAAUAACUGACGCUGAGGCACGAAAGCUAGGGGAGCAAACAGGAUUAGAUACCCCUGUAGUCCCUGUCUCUUAUAA
rnacentral:rRNA from 1 species